GAGUGUGUGUGUGUGCCUGUGUGUGUGCGCCUGCGUAUGUGUGUGACCACCCAUGGUCUGUGCAGACCAAGGAUUAGGGGGCUCAAGCUAACCCAAACCUUUUUCUCCACCACUUAACUGCAAAUGGCUAAAUUGGUGCAGAUGGAUUAUGGUCAGACAACAGACCCGACUGUGAAUCGCUCCUCCUCUCCAUGACCACGCUGUCUGCGGCAAAACCAGCAUCAGGCGACAGGAACGCCGCGGCCUUUUCCCUGCAGAGGAGACGUCCCGCCCGAAUUCCUAAAUAUUUUCACAAAUCCAUUCAAAAUCAUAACAUAAUUGCAGUGGAAUACUUUACGGAAUGAAUGAAAAAUGGAUUUGAGAACAUAACAGGCGUUGGCAUUAGACAAGAUACAAUGCAUUUUAUUUUAAUAUUAUUUUAUAUACAUGUUAACAUUGUUCCAAACGAGUCACAGUCAGCGCCACUAAAUAGGGAAAAUUCGCCUUCUGAAAUAAAGUGACUCUAUGAAAGGUGACAUCAUCCUAAAGAAAAAAGCAAAAACGAAUAGUCCAAGAAGUCUAUCACCGUGUUUUAAGAACUCCUUCCUCUCCCUCUUUCCCUUGUUUUUUGUCAUUAAAAUGUUUCCUCGAGUCUGUAGACUGUGCACAUCGUGUAGUGUCGGUCUUCUUUCCAGGUCAUCAUGGAAAGGGGGGAGGGGGGGGAUGGGUGGCCCUGGUCAUAUAUGUUUACAGCCCAUCCACCUAAUGUCAUUGUUCUGCUUCACCAUAUUGUAGUUGUACUUGUUAUUUUCUGUCCAGUUUACACACAAAAGGAACUAUUAAAAGUGUGUUGCCUU